rnacentral:lncRNA from 1 species
CACUGUGUUAGCCAGGAUGGUCUCCAUCUCCUGCCCUCGUGAUCUACCCGCCUCGGCCUACCAAAGUGCUGGGGCUACAAGCGUGAGCCACCGCGUCAGGCCGAAAGCUGCAUGGUUUUAUUCAAGAUUAGAGAAUCCACCUUCCUGGAAAAGAAGACACAAUCCUCAUCCUAAUGACCUACUGACCACCAUCAGAAGAGGAAGUACCACAUUGUUCAGAAGUACUGGAGAAUGACAAAGUACGGACCCUUCAUCUUCCUCCUUUGCUGAGGCUAAAAGGAAAGAAUAAAUAACAGUUGAAAGAAAAGAUCAAUGAAGGCCUUGACUGCAAUAAAAGAUAGAAAGUUCCUGGCAAAGGGAAACCAUAAAUGCUAUAGAACCUCAUUCUUCAUCCUUUGAACUGAAGGUCUCCUCUGGCCGGACCAUUAAAGAUCGACUGCAGCUCUUCCCUUGAGCAUAGGUGUUUGCCUUACUUAUAUUAGUGCCCAGCUAUGCAGGGUGGCAUUGAAAACCUGUCUGCAAAUACGGUGGAGGCUUUCUUGAUGGCUAAUCCAUAAAGUUUGCAAAAGUUACAUUUAUCUCUCAAGACUCAUGCGGUUGAUAUUAUACACAGUAGGGCAUUUACUCACUCCUUCUUCCAUUAGUAACAACAUCUAAUAUAGCAAGUUGGUGGAGACCAACGUGCUCAGGACACCCGUCCAAUUGCUUUCCUGCCUUUCACUAGUGAUGGAUGGAAGUGAUUGAGUUUUUCAUCCUGAGCUGCUGAGCUCCUGUAGAUUGUGCUGUGAGAUGACAGGGCUACUACCAGAGCUAUUUCUUGAGCGUGAUGAAGUGACAUAGUUUUAAGCUGGGUCCGGGAGUGCCUUAGGAAUUUGGAAGAGCCUUCUGGGGUCCAUCAUGGAUAAACUGGGUAGAUGGAGGCUGUGCACUGGAGAACUCUCACAUUUUCAGUUUGUAAUCCUACAUAUGCUUUUCAAAAGAGAGAAUGAUCUGUUCAAGUAAAAGAACUAAAAAUCUCCUAGUGAGUGAAGACAGAUGACCUUGGAGACCGGGGACCUCUGUUAAAAAUUUGCACAACCAUUAACAGGACUGGUCCUGAAUCUAAGUUGCUUCUCUUCCUUUGAACUUUAUUAGCAUUAUCUCUAAAAUAAUCAUGAAAAUGCAACAUGUUAUCAAGUUUGGAGGAGUCUUAGGAUGGUCAAAUGAGAUCUCAUAAAUAAAAGCACCAUAUUAAGUGCAGGCUGCUGAGGAGCUGUUAGUAAAGCUAGUUACUACUUCUAAAUACUACAGUUUCUAUGCAAAGCUUAUUAUAUUUGAUCUCUCUUGACUGACCCAGCCAUCCUAUGAGAUAAGUAAACUAGUAAAGACAGUUUACUCUGCCUUGUCUUGAUUUUCUUAAUCGUGAGUCAUCACAACAUAUAUAGCAGAAGUCAAAGACAAGGAUUUAUGUGCAAAUAAUUUAUUAAAGGAAUUGUUCCCAAAGGAAAUCAGUAAGAAACUAGAAGAAACGGGCUAGGGAAGGAAGGGAGCUAAGCAGGGGAAUGAUUUCAGAUAAAAUCCUGAAAAGUGUAGCUUCAUCCUACAGACAUAAAUUAGACCUUAGAGUUGUCCUAUCUGAGGAAGCUGAUAUUUUCAUAUUUUGAUUUUCAUCAGUCUUUGGUUAAAGGUACCUACUCCUUCUGCCCAUAUAUUUCCAUUUCAGAGAUGGCAAUUAUUUUUUAAUGGAUGAGUAAAUAUUUAUUGAACAUUGUUUAUGUUGCAGAUGCUGUUCUAGAUCUGUUCACAGUGGUGAAAAUGACAGGCUUCCUCAUGGGACAGAUAAUUAACCAAUAAACAGAUACAUAUUUGUUUUCAGGAAAUAAGUGAUAUGAGCUUAUGAGUUUAAAGAGGGUAAGAGGAAAGAAAAAUACUAGUGGUAGGGAGAGGGUGAUAUUUGUGGUACAUCAGUUAUCCCCCUUCCUGUCUAGACUUAUGACAGAUAUUCACACCUCCACAUCCAUUAAGAUGAGUCGAAGUCUCAAUCUUUUUCAACAAAUAAUCUCACUUUUAGGGUUCUUAUAGAAUGAUUCUUGCAACGAGUGCUGUAUUAGACAAAAUGAUGUAAGAAGAGUUUGCUUUUGAUUUUCUUUUCAAAAGGAAAUAGAUAUAUUAUGUUUUAUUCUUUAGUUUUAUCCAGCACCAGUCCUGAACCUAUUUUACCUUCAUUUCAUUCCCCAACUUUCCCCUGCUCUGCUGGGCACAGCAGAUGAGCUGAACCUUGAAUGUUAUAAGGAUCCUGCAUUAGAUAGAUUCUGGUUGGUUCAACCAGAGAGACAGGGUGACUGCAGGGCUAGAGGAAGGGAGAAAUAAGUAGUUUUCCCUAGUCUUCUGCUUCAGGAAACAACUCUAGCAGCAGCUGUACCUCCUCUGCAUCUCCAGAUCCUGCUAGAAUGAGCUGUGGUUCCAGUGUGCAUCAUGGGACCCAGGCCGUGGGCUUUGCUAAUUCCACUUCCUCCUUCCUUUGUUUCUCCAGCCUAUGGAAUGAUGGUAGUGGUUUCUUGUUGCUGAUAUCUGGGUUGUCUCAUUUUCCUUUGUUGGCUUAUCUCUUCCACCACCUAUGACACAAAUUGUCUAUACUGAAUCUCCUCUUUUUUACUGGUUUGACCCUUACUAUGGUAGCCAAUGUUGGGACUCAGAAAACAACACACCCCAAAAUGAAGGCCUCAGAAGCAGCCUCAGAAGCAACAAUUUUUUUCUGCCCUCCUCCUUUCCUCUCUCAGUCCCAUUUUCCCCCAAAGCUACCCAUAAAACCUGGAAUCAUUCUUCCCCAAGGUAGGUCAUAGAAACCAGAACCUCUUUCUCCCAAAGCCAGCCAAAAAGCCUAAAAACAUUACGCUAACUUUCCUCCACCUUUCUCUUUAGAAACUGGCCAUAAAGAAAUUAUCUUACCUAUACCUUGUUUGACUGAGGUCAUAAGAACCUCCAUUCAAGAGAGGGUCCUGCCCCAUACCCAGAAGAAAGAAAUCCAUGCUCAGAGAGGUCAAGAAGAGGCUAGACGGGCAGGCCUCACUGGGUUUCCCACCUCCGUCUAUUAACAUUAGAUCAGACCCCUUUUGUCCAAUUAUAUUUCUUCACAGCUGUCCAUACUUUAUUGAACCUAAGCAUUAAAACAGGCAAUUUUCCCUGUAUCUUUGAGUUUUCAUUCUGAAGGUUCUCAUGCAUGUGCACUAAAUAAAUUUGUAUCCC